GAUUCUGGCUCAGGAUGAACGCUAGCUACAGGCUUAACACAUGCAAGUCGAGGGGCAUCAUGGAGUUUGCUUGCAAACUCUGAUGGCGACCGGCGCACGGGUGAGUAACGCGUAUCCAACCUUCCCUAUAGUAGAGGAUAGCCCGGCGAAAGUCGGAUUAAUACUCUAUGUUUUCCGUUGCAGACAUCUAAGAUGGAACAAAGGCUUGCCGCUAUAGGAUGGGGGAUGCGUCUGAUUAGGUAGUCGGCGGGGUAACGGCCCACCGAGCCAUCGAUCAGUAGGGGUUCUGAGAGGAAGGUCCCCCACAUUGGAACUGAGACACGGUCCAAACUCCUACGGGAGGCAGCAGUGAGGAAUAUUGGUCAAUGGGCGAGAGCCUGAACCAGCCAAGUAGCCGUGCAGGACGACGGCCCUAUGGGUUGUAAACUGCUUUUAUGCGGGGAUAAAGUUCACUACGUGUAGUGUUUUGUAGGUACCGCAUGAAUAAGGACCGGCUAAUUCCGUGCCAGCAGCCGC
rnacentral:rRNA from 1 species